rnacentral:rRNA from 1 species
AGUGAACGCUGGCGGCAGGCCUAAUACAUGCAAGUCGAACGGCAGCACAGCAGAGCUUGCUCUGUGGGUGGCGAGUGGCGGACGGGUGAGGAAUACAUGGGAAUCUGCCCAGUCGUGGGGGAUAACGUAGGGAAACUUACGCUAAUACCGCAUGCGCCCUUCGGGGGAAAGCCGGGGACCUUCGGGCCUGGCGCGAUUGGAUGAGCCCAUGUCGGAUUAGCUAGUUGGCGGGGUAAUGGCCCACCAAGGCGACGAUCCGUAGCUGGUCUGAGAGGAUGAUCAGCCACACUGGAACUGAGACACGGUCCAGACUCCUACGGGAGGCAGCAGUAGGGAAUAUUGGACAAUGGGGCGCAAGCCUGAUCCAGCCAUGCCGCGUGACGUGAAGAAGGCCCUCGGGUUGUAAAGCUCUUUUGUCCGGAAAGAAAGCGCCGGGUUAAUACCCUGGUGUCCUGACGGUACCGGAAGAAUAAGCACCGGCUAACUUCGUGCCAGCAGCCG